UGGAUCCAGACUUUGAUUCUGGCUCAGGAUGAACGCUAGCUACAGGCUUAACACAUGCAAGUCGAGGGGAAACGACAUCGAAAGCUUGCUUUUGAUGGGCGUCGACCGGCGCACGGGUGAGUAACGCGUAUCCAACCUGCCCAUCACUUGGGGAUAACCUUGCGAAAGUAAGACUAAUACCCAAUGAUAUCUCUAGAAGACAUCUGAAAGAGAUUAAAGAUUUAUCGGUGAUGGAUGGGGAUGCGUCUGAUUAGCUUGUUGGCGGGGUAACGGCCCACCAAGGCGACGAUCAGUAGGGGUUCUGAGAGGAAGGUCCCCCACAUUGGAACUGAGACACGGUCCAAACUCCUACGGGAGGCAGCAGUGAGGAAUAUUGGUCAAUGGACGAGAGUCUGAACCAGCCAAGUAGCGUGCAGGAUGACGGCCCUAUGGGUUGUAAACUGCUUUUAUAAGGGAAUAAAGUGAGAGUCGUGACUCUUUUUGCAUGUACCUUAUGAAUAAGGACCGGCUAAUUCCGUGCCAGCAGCCGCGGUAAUACGGAAGGUCCGGGCGUUAUCCGGAUUUAUUGGGUU
rnacentral:rRNA from 1 species